UCAUAUUCCAUCGUUUCAUCUCCAUUUUCGAUUCGAUCCCUCUUUUCAUUUCCAUCUUGUCAUGAUGUUUACAGAGAACAGGGUAAAUCCAAAUUCAGUACUUCUUCAAUUCACCAAAUCUUGAAGAGGAAACUAUAAAAUCGAAAAAGGAGAGAAGCUCCGAUUAGUCGAAUCAAUUGGGUUUUAUCUAUGGAGAUGAGAGUGAUAUCAAUCGGAUGAUCCUGUUUUGACCCAUGAUUUUAGCUAGCCGAUUCAUCAACUCAAUUGAAUUGGAUAUAUCAUUACCAACCGAAGAAGUACAUGUGAAAGCCUAUACAUACAAACCGAAGCAUAUAUAUAUAUGAAGACAUCAUAAUAUCCGAGAAGAAAUGAGAUGUACUUUCCUGUAGCCCAGGUUAUUACAAUAGAGUAGAAGGACAUGAAGCCAUUAACAGUAAGCUUUAUUUCUAAAGUUUUUAUUCUUUGGUUUUAGAUUCCGAACUUUCUGAACUGUGAACUCUUCAUUACUAUAGAAGUUUAUAGUUAAUGUGCAAACUGGGAAAAAAUUGCAAUAUACUGACCAGUUAUAUUUUUCUUUUUGAUUCAAUAUGAGGACAUGGUUUAACGUUUUUUGGCGGACGAGUUAUUGAUAAGAGAGGAUAAGGUUUAGCAGAGGAAAAAUUGAAGAUCUGUGAUAGACACGGGAGCGGCAGCCAUUGGAGAAGGUUUGAUAGCUUACUCUGAAAGUAAAGAAGGCUUUUUUCCGGAGGCCCAAAAUAGCCCAUCGGUACGUGAGGGAAGGUUUAAAUAGAAGUUCCUCAAUAAUUCCUAUCCGGAUAUCCAAUUCUGAAUUUUUGGGUAAUUUUUAAUUUUAAACCCGAUCCAAUAUGUUUAAAAGUCACCUUUAACUUUAAUGAUAUGUCUUAAGACAAAAUUGGACAGGGGUAUUUUCGGGCUAUGAGAAAGUUGUACUUCUCUUUUACUAAUAUAGGGAUGUAAGAGUAAAGAAAUAAUAAAAUCUAACUUUUU